GUUUUGGAGUGCAGGCGUGAAUAGUCCUUUCUGUCCUGCUUUGAGUACUGCUGUUGGGUGCCUUGGGGGGACCUUAAGGGAGCUCGGAAGUUGAGACGUGGUGAGUGCGAGAUCACUGCCCACAAAGGGGAGGAGCAGGCGGAUGAACAGCCAGAGCUGCAAUGGUGGAUCCUCCUCCAGGGCUGCAUGGGACGACAGAUAGAUGAGGCUCUAGGACGGGCACAAAUGCUACCCGAAUGCAAACCACUCCGGAGAUCUGUAAAAGGACUGGCCCCGGACAGGAAGCACACUUUAAACUAGAGGCGGGGUAAGACUCGUGGGCCAAUCAAGGCUUCCGAACAGAACUGCCAUUCUGGCAAUGAGGCGGGGUCUUCCGGUUGCCUGCUGGAAGUUUGUUUUUGCUCUGCAGGAUUGAAGGGUUCUCCCUAUGCUGCUUUGAGCGCUGCUAUUGGGUGCCUUGAGGGGACCUCAAGUAAGCUCCAUUUUUGAAACAUGAGUCAAAGCCCCGGUGAAGAUUCUGUGACGGUUCAUUGUAUAAUUUAUGAUGAUGAAGAUUGAGUUGCAUUUUGCGGAAAAGAGAUGUUGAGAUAUCUAAGGCAUUGAGAAAUCUGUCAUGCAGACAUGCACACAGGGAGAGGGAGUACCCAAACUGAUGAGAACUUACAGGAAUUGGACCAUCUAAGCCCUUAGAAAGUGAAGUCCACUGUGUCUCAAACAAAGAUCUUCAUCCACAUCUUGAAGUUUGAAGUUUGGCCAAGAAUAUACAGAGUAGAUUCUCUUUCUCAGGAUGGCAAGUGUUCAUGACAUCAAUACUACCCAAGGCUUCAGAGUCAUUGGAUUGCAGGAUGCAGUGACUUAUGAUGAUGUGCGUGUGAACUUCACUGAGGAAGAGUGGGAUUUGCUGGAUCCUUCCCAGAAAAGUCUUUAUGAAGAGGUGAUGCUGGAGACCUACCAGAACAUCACUGCUAUAGG
rnacentral:lncRNA from 1 species